rnacentral:rRNA from 1 species
UAGGGAAUCUUGGACAAUGGGCGCAAGCCUGAUCCAGCCAUGCCGCGUGAGUGAUGAAGGCCUUCGGGUUGUAAAGCUCUUUUGGCGGGGACGAUAAUGACGGUACCCGCAGAAUAAGCCCCGGCUAACUUCGUGCCAGCAGCCGCGGUAAUACGAAGGGGGCUAGCGUUGUUCGGAAUUACUGGGCGUAAAGCGCACGUAGGCGGAUUUGUAAGUCAGGGGUGAAAUCCCGGGGCUCAACCUCGGAACUGCCCUUGAUACUGCAAAUCUCGAGUCCGAUAGAGGUGAGUGGAAUUCCUAGUGUAGAGGUGAAAUUCGUAGAUAUUAGGAAGAACACCAGUGGCGAAGGCGGCUCACUGGAUCGGUACUGACGCUGAGGUGCGAAAGCGUGGGGAGCAAACAGGAUUAGAUACCUUGUAGUCCCUGAGCGGGCUGGCAAGGCGCAU